rnacentral:rRNA from 1 species
GCGGGAAGAGCUCAAAUUUGAAAUCUGGUAGCCUUCGGUUGCCCGAGUUGUAAUCUAGAGAAGUGUUUUCCGCGUUGGCCCAUGUACAAGUCCCUUGGAACAGGGCGUCAUAGAGGGUGAGAAUCCCGUCCUUGACAUGGACCCCCAAUGCUUUGUGAUACACUUUCAACGAGUCGAGUUGUUUGGGAAUGCAGCUCAAAAUGGGUGGUGAAUUCCAUCUAAAGCUAAAUAUUGGCGAGAGACCGAUAGCGAACAAGUACCGUGAGGGAAAGAUGAAAAGCACUUUGGAAAGAGAGUUAAACAGUACGUGAAAUUGUUGAAAGGGAAACGAUUGAAGUCAGUCAUGCUCUUUGGAUUAAGCCGUUCUGCGGUGUAUUUCAUUGAGCGGGGUCAACAUCAGUUUUGAUCGCUGGAAAAGGGCAGGAGGAAGGUAGCACUCUCGGGUGAACUUAUAGCCUCUUGUCGUAUACAGUGAUUGGGACUGAGGAACGCAGCAUGCCUUUUGGCCGGGAUUCGUCCACGUACAUGCUUAGGAUGUUGACAUAAUGGCUUUAAACGACCCGU